rnacentral:rRNA from 1 species
CGAGCGGUAGCACAGGGGAGCUUGCUCCCCGGGUGACGAGCGGCGGACGGGUGAGUAAUGUCUGGGAAACUGCCUGAUGGAGGGGGAUAACUACUGGAAACGGUAGCUAAUACCGCAUAACGUCGCAAGACCAAAGAGGGGGACCUUCGGGCCUCUUGCCAUCAGAUGUGCCCAGAUGGGAUUAGCUAGUAGGUGGGGUAAUGGCUCACCUAGGCGACGAUCCCUAGCUGGUCUGAGAGGAUGACCAGCCACACUGGAACUGAGACACGGUCCAGACUCCUACGGGAGGCAGCAGUGGGGAAUAUUGCACAAUGGGCGCAAGCCUGAUGCAGCCAUGCCGCGUGUGUGAAGAAGGCCUUCGGGUUGUAAAGCACU